AUUGAACGCUGGCGGCAUGGCUAAUGCAUGCAAGUCGAACGAAAGCCCUUCGGGGCGAAAGUGGCGAAAGGGCGAGUAAUACGAUCGAACGUACCCCAAGGUGGAGGAUAGUGUCGGGAAACUGACGGUAAUACUCCAUGUGCUCUUCGGAGGAAAGCUUUGGCGCCUCGGGAGCGGCGAUCGUCCUAUCAGGUAGUUGGUGAGGUAAUGGCUCACCAAGCCGAAGACGGGGUAGCGGGUGUGAGAGCAUGACCCGCCGCAUCGGGACUGAGACACUGCCCGGACUCCUACGGGAGGCUGCAGCGACGAUCUUCCGCAAUGGGCGCAAGCCUGACGGAGCAAUGCCGCGUGUGGGACGAAGCGUCUUCGACGUGUAAACCACUGUCAGAAUCUAGGAACACUGACCAGAUUCAAAGGAAGGGCCGGCUAACCUCGUG
rnacentral:rRNA from 1 species